GAUGAACGCUGGCGGCGUGCCUAAUACAUGCAAGUCGAGCGAACAGACGAGGAGCUUGCUCCUCUGACGUUAGCGGCGGACGGGUGAGUAACACGUGGAUAACCUACCUAUAAGACUGGGAUAACUUCGGGAAACCGGCGCUAAUACCGGAUAAUAUAUUGAACCGCAUGGUUCAAUAGUGAAAGACGGUUUUGCUGUCACUUAUAGAUGGAUCCGCGCCGCAUUAGCUAGUUGGUAAGGUAACGGCUUACCAAGGCGACGAUGCGUAGCCGACCUGAGAGGGUGAUCGGCCACACUGGAACUGAGACACGGUCCAGACUCCUACGGGAGGCAGCAGUAGGGAAUCUUGCGCAAUGGGCGAAAGCCUGACGGAGCAACGCCGCGUGAGUGAUGAAGGUCUUCGGAUCGUAAAGCUCUGUUAUUAGGGAAGAACAAAUGUGUAAGUAACUAUGCACGUCUUGACGGUACCUAAUCAGAAAGCCACGGCUAACUACGUG
rnacentral:rRNA from 1 species